UAUCAUUAAAACUCUUAAAGUCCUAAACAGAUGGUACACCUUCUCUCUUCUUCUCUCUCAAUACACCUUCUCUCUCUUUCUCUCUCUAUACACCUUCUCUCUCUUUCUCUCUAAAUCCCUAAACGAUUCCCCAAAUCAGUAUUCAUUAUUGAGAUUACAAUAACGUAAGACGGUCAUAUCCUUUAAUGAUUCUCCCAAAAUCCUUUAGCUUUUAUAUAAGGAGAUCAGAUUUCAACUCGUUUAAGGUAGUCGAUGAAUCUAAAACAGAUGGUAAAGCUAUUGGGAUCGACGUCACAAAAAUUAUAUUUGAUAUGUAUAGUUAACUUUAUCCUUUCUUUUGAGCAACUUUCUUUUUUUAAAGAGAUGCCGAAGCAUAAUCGGAUAAAAAAUCUAUUUAAAUCAAUCAAAGGGAGCUCUUCACUUGCUCCAGAGCAGUCAUCACAUGCUCAAUCUCAAUCUCAAGCUUCAUAUUCAUUUUCUGAUCGAGACUCUUUACGUCAUACACAACCCAUCAUUCCAUCUUCAUCAACUAAUAGAGUCUCGUCACAUAAUGGCAUUCUAGCUUCAUCAACUAAUAGAGUCUCGUCACAAAAUGGCAUUCCAGCUUCAUCAACUAAUAGAGUUUCGUCACAGAAUGACAUUCCAGCUUCAUCAACUAAUAGAGUCUUGUCAUAGAAUGUCAUUCCAUCUUCAUCGUCUGGUGGAGUCUCUUCACAACCAACUACACGUAGACGAGUUAUAGAUGACUCGUAGUCUCGUGAUUGGGUUGUCGAUGUUAUAGAUGAAUGUCAAGUGAUAAAAUCUAUUAGGUUAAAGGUUCAGGAUAUUCAUAACUUGGAGAAUGGAUCGCGCAUAAUUGUAGAAUGUGAUGAGUUUGCUCAACCUAUUGAAAAAUCAGCCGGCCUUCUUGCAGGAUUUUUGGGGCAGCUUGCUAGAAAUCCUCGAUGCUUUCCUAUUGGCUUUGAGAGUUGGGCAUCCAUGCCUAAACCUUUUGUGAACCGUGCUUUUAAUGAUUUCGUAAUGUUAAUGCCUUUUAAUUCUUUUGCUUAGUUUGUAUGUUAUAGUUCAGUCAGCAGUAAACUAACAUAUAUUGUUUUUGUGAUAUAUUGUGAUGGAGAUAAGGUUGGAAAAUGAUGCAUACAUAUUGUUAUUGUUU